rnacentral:rRNA from 1 species
UACGGGGGGAGCAAGCGUUGUUCGGAUUUACUGGGCGUAAAGGGCGCGUAGGCGGUCAGCACAAGUCAGUUGUGAAAUCUCCGGGCUUAACUCGGAAAGGUCAACUGAUACUGUGCGACUAGAGUGCGGAAGGGGCAACUGGAAUUCUCGGUGUAGCGGUGAAAUGCGUAGAUAUCGAGAGGAACACCUGCGGCGAAGGCGGCUCACUGGUCCGGUACUGACGCUGAGGUGCGAAAGCGUGGGGAGCAAACAGG